GGGCGAGUGGCGGAAUCGGCAGACGCUCUGGACUUAAAAUCCAGUGGCCCGCCCGCGGGCCGUGAGGGUUCGAUCCCCUCCUCGCCCACCA
rnacentral:tRNA from 1 species